AGAGUUUGAUCAUGGCUCAGAACGAACGUUGGCGGCGUGGAUUAGGCAUGCAAGUCGAGCGCGAACCCCGCAAGGGGGGAGAGCGGCAAACGGGGUAGGAACGGGUGGGUAACGUACCCUUCGGCCGGGGAUAGCCACGGGAAACUGUGGGUAAUACCCGAUAAUCUCUUCAGAUAUCAUGUCUGGGGAGCAAAGGUGAGAUUCCUCCGAGGGAGCGGCCCGCUUCGUAUUAGCUUGUUGGUGAGGUAACGGCUCACCAAGGCAACGAUGCGUAGGGGGUGUGAGAGCAUGACCCCCACCACUGGGACUGAGAUACUGCCCAGACACCUACGGGUGGCUGCAGUCGAGAAUCUUCGGCAAUGGGCGCAAGCCUGACCGAGCGACGCCGCGUGUGGGAUGAAGGCCCUUGGGUUGUAAACCACUGUCAGAGGGGAUGAAAUGCCAGAGAGUUAUCUCUUUGGUUGACAUAGCCUCAGAGAAGCACC
rnacentral:rRNA from 1 species